AUAUGUUUUUUAAACAGUUUUAUAUAAUAAAUGUAAGAUUCCUUCUUCCUGGAUAUCAUUUUGACUCCUGUUAGUACUUUUGCUGCCUUCCAUUAAUGGAAUGAUUUUACAUCAUUUAAGUACAUAUUUUGGGUAAUUUCUAUCAAGGCAAACACUGCUCUCUUCUGAGGACUUCUACCAAGGCCUGUAAGAAACUAAGGUGGGAAUUUUACUCUUAACCUGGCUAUGUUUUAAGUUUAGGAAGCCAAUUUUUCUGGCUGAAAUGAAGUCAUUUUCUUCUUUUUUUUAUAUAUAAAUAAGACUAAUUUAUUUACAGUUUCUACUGAAACUGCAGUCUUCCCCCUUCUGCCUAAAUGGCCCAGACCAUUUUAAUCCAUGGUUUGAGCUCCUCACAGAGCUCACUUGUUGUCAUUAAUACACUAUGCUAUGUGUAGUACUGUCCACCACUUUACACAUUCACACUAGGGAAGUUAGGUUGAAAAAUUAGAAUCUUUCUUACAGCUUUCAGACAGUAAGGAAGCACUAAGGAAGAACAUUUUAAAGACCCUUUUACACUCAUGUCUUCUUUCUUCUUCAGUGCUAGGAAAAUAUAUGGGAUAAUUUAGUCCAAUUUGUCUGGGAAUAAUUAUUUAUGAGGAGAUAUGUGCUCUGAAGAAGAAAGGUUUGACAAAGAAUAUAUAUUCUUUAGCUCAUUGGUGUUGGGAGCAUAUGUUAGUGAUCCUACCAUAAAAAGCAUAUGCUUAAAAAGUGGUUACUGUGUGAGGAUAGUAACUAUUCUUAUAUAGUAUUGUGUCAUGGGAACGGUUUCGUUUUACCUGGGAGGAAUGAAUGAAUUUAAACCAAUACACAAAUUCUGUAAUGAUUUUUUCUUCAGGAUAUGAUCUAGACCUACAAAUAUCUCUUCAUUAACUAUAGAAGUUUGGGAUUCCAUCACACUUAGAGGUAAUCUUCCAUAAAAUUCUGAAGCAGAUGGUAAAGGUGGGUGUUAAGUAAUUUAAAUGUGAAUUUAGAAACUAGAGAAAGAUAAAAAUAAAACCAAAGCACUUAGACACAGUCACAUCACCUGGUAGUAAUAUCAGUGUAUUUUGCUGCUGCUUUUAAGUUUUUUCCAUAGACUUGCCACAAUUUUUGCAUGACUAAAAAGGAAAAAUUAAGUAUGAACCUGGUUGAAUGUUUAAUAAAAAAUUAGCAAUGUCAUAUUGAUUUUGAUGACAUAGCCACUUUUUUUGUUUUUUAUCUUCAGACUUGGUACAUUCAAAAUAAGUUGAAUUGAAAGUAUUAAUUACCAUUUAGACACGAACUUCUGUUCAGAAACAAGCCCCAUGUCUAGCACAAAGUGUAUUGAAUUUCUCAUUGUGUACAAAUAUGUUCAUUCCUUUUUUUUCCAGUUCUAGGACAUUUUCCUCUAAAAGCAGCCAGUGUUUUAGCUUUUUCUUUUUCUUAUUUUAUUUAUUUUUUUGUUACAAGAUGCUGUGAUUUCUUUAAAGUUCAAGAAACUAUUUUUAUAUCUAGCCUAAUAUUCAACUUAAAUUGUUGUCCUUACCCACUGUUAAACCAAAUUAAUUUGUAAAGGAUGGAUUUUAGAAUAAAUAUGUUUAGCACUCUAUAACAAUACAGAUUACUGAAGUGCAUUUUCAAAUGUUAGAACAUAAUUUUAAUUUAAUCUUUUGCACAGAAUUUCUUUAGAAGCUGAGGUUUUAUGUUAAAGUUUUCUUUUCUUGGGAAAUUAGAGGUUCUCAGUAGACAAAGGUUAUUUGAAAAUUAAUUUCUAUGCAUAAAUGUGUAUGUUAUUUUAAAAAAUAGGUUACAUAUUGCUUCUUUUCAUCUGUUAAAUCUAGGUUACAUAAAAUGAUGAACUGUACCUAACAAUAUUGGUCUACCUUGCCCUCAGGGGAAAAAUAGGCCUCUACAUGUAACAUGUGAUACUAACAAGAUUAGAAUUUAAUGAAGUGCAAGAGAAUACCAAAAGUUUUGAUAUUUUACUUGCUUGUUUUUUGUUUGUUUGUUUUUGUUUUUUUAAUUUAAGGAAAUAAGCACUCUGUAUUCCUCACCCUAAUUGCCAACUGUGCCCUAGUUGGUUGAACAUCAAGGAUUUGUCACAUUUUUUUUUUCCUUAAGGAAAAGCAGGGCAUCACAAAUCAUCAGUGAAUCUCUUGCUGAGUAAUGGUGGUUUUUCAAUAUUAAUUUAUUUAAGCACAUUUUAUUUUUAGAAAUCAGUAUUUUUUAUUCCAAGAUCAUAUAUAUUGUGUGUAUACACAUCAUUAAUAUCAGACAUUUUCUCAUCU
rnacentral:lncRNA from 1 species